AAUUGUAUGUACUAUGGUAUAUUGUUCAAAACAAUAACAAUCUCAAAACAGCUUUCUGUUAUCAGGAAGCCAAUUAUAUGGUUGGAUUAUUUCAAUUAUUGUGGUUGGGAGCUGUUUGUAUUCAUACUCAACUUGGCUAUUUAUAAUUUUGGAUUAUGUAUAAAGAUUACUGCAUUUUAAAUCAUUCCAACAUUUUAAGUAUUAUAUAACGAAAGGUAUGGCCGGCAUUAAAUGUUCAGUCAUAUUUUCAUUAUUAUCUUUUAAGCUUAAUGCAAUCGCUUAAUAGUUAAUACUAAAGCGUUUAGUCGUGUCAACAAAAACAGUUUCACUUAAAACGCAAACCUUUUAGACUGUCAGAAAUUAAACUAAUUGCUUGUUAAUGCAUAUAAGCUAUAAUGUCAUGCUAUCGAAUUCAAAGCGAUAUGGUUUUAUUUUUGUUGGCAGUAGAGCUAAUUAUUAGUGCCUAUAAAUAUACAUAGCAAAAGUUUAAGUAAUGACUCCUCUUCCUAUCAAAAGUCAUAAUAAUUAAUUGAAGCACUUGACAGAUAUGGAAAUUAUUAAUAACAAUUUCUUGGCAAAUUUCCUCCCAGGCAAAGCGGCAUAUUUUCCCAUCGUUCCAACUAUGGAACUGGCUGCAGAAAAAAAGAAAAACUAGCAAUGUCGCACAAGUGGAACAACGAACAGGAUUUCCAAAAACAUUUCAACGUUUAUAUAAUAUUCCGGUAAGAGGUUCGAAUACCUCUCAGAUUAAGCUCCGAUCUAUAAAUGACCGAAGCUGAUUAGAACUCAGUGAUCGGAACAAUUGAGUUCUGUAAAAUCAAUAGAUACUUAGUAUAAAACAUGUUCCCUUGGCGCAUGCAAUUGAUGGGUAUAUUAAAUUACUAAUACUGCACUGCCAACUAGUUCUUAGAAAGUCUAUGUAUAAAAAUUUACGAUAUAUAUGUAUAUUGGAUUUUGAUGUUUUUUAUGUAAGCUUUAAUUUGUAUAUAAAGCUGUAUAAAGUAGUCGGUAGUUUCACAAUUACAACCAUUCAAAUGUAUUACAAUGUACAAUAAAUCCUCUCCAUAAAAAGACAACCAGCAAUUUAUUUAAACGUUACCGAUUGUGUUGAAUGUGUUAAUUAAAUUAAAUACAUGUUAGAAUAUCUUUAGUUCAAUCAUUUAAUCAUAAAUCGUUUUAUUUUAAAUGUCAGAUAAUAAGACAAGCGUUCAUUCUUUAGAGUGUCAAUCGUUUUAAUGUUUAAUUUGUUUCUUUAAACAUAUUAC
rnacentral:sRNA from 1 species